CAGUAGCCGCGGUAACACGAAGGGUGCAAGCGUUAAUCGGAAUUACUGGGCGUAAAGCGUGCGUAGGCGGUUUGUUAAGUCUGUUGUGAAAUCCCCGGGCUCAACCUGGGAAUGGCAAUGGAUACUGGCAAGCUAGAGUGUGUCAGAGGAUGGUGGAAUUCCCGGUGUAGCGGUGAAAUGCGUAGAGAUCGGGAGGAACAUCAGUGGCGAAGGCGGCCAUCUGGGACAACACUGACGCUGAGGCACGAAAGCGUGGGGAGCAAACAGGAUUAGAUACCCCAGUAGUCCCUGUCUCUUAUAA
rnacentral:rRNA from 1 species